rnacentral:rRNA from 2 species
ACGCACCUUGCGCCCCUUGGCUAUUCCGAGGGGCAUGCCUGUUUGAGUAUCAUGAACACCUCAACUCUCAUGGUUUGCCAUGAUGAGUUGGACUCUGGGGGUUUUGCUGGCCUGUGGUCGGCUCCUCUCAAAUUAAUCAGCCUCCCAGUGUUUGGUGGCAUCACGGGUGUGAUAAAUAUCUACGCUCGCUGUUGUCUGCCAGGUAACCUUUGGUCACAAAGGUUUGCUGGAGCUCACAGAUGUCUCUCCUCAGCGAGGACAGCUUUUUUAACGUUCGAUCUCAAAUCAGGUAGGACUACCCGCUGAACUUAAGCAUAUCAAUAAGCGGAGG